AGACCCGAAACCCGGUGAUCUAGCCAUGGGCAGGUUGAAGGUUGGGUAACACUAACUGGAGGACCGAACCGACUAAUGUUGAAAAAUUAGCGGAUGACCUGUGGCUGGGGGUGAAAGGCCAAUCAAACCGGGAGAUAGCUGGUUCUCCCCGAAAGCUAUUUAGGUAGCGCCUCGUGAAUUCAUCUCCGGGGGUAGAGCACUGUUUCGGCUAGGGGGCCAUCCCGGCUUACCAACCCGAUGCAAACUGCGAAUACCGGAGAAUGUUAUCACGGGAGACACACGGCGGGUGCUAACGUCCGUCGUGAAGAGGGAAACAACCCAGACCGCCAGCUAAGGUCCCAAAGUCAUGGUUAAGUGGGAAACGAUGUGGGAAGGCCCAGACAGCCAGGAUGUUGGCUUAGAAGCAGCCAUCAUUUAAAGAAAGCGUAAUAGCUCACUGGUCGAGUCGGCCUGCGCGGAAGAUGUAACGGGGCUAAACCAUGCACCGAAGCUGCGGCAGCGACGCUGAUGCGUUGUUGGGUAGGGGAGCGUUCUGUAAGCCUGCGAAGGUGUGCUGUGA
rnacentral:rRNA from 1 species